CUUGGGCGCUUUGCUUUCGCAAAGGGUUAGGUGUAUGUGUAUAUCUGGACAAUGUGCUCUGCUUUUUUUAGGUGCAAAGGCAACAACGAAACCCAAAAUACAUACGUAUACGUUUCUUUCUACACCAAUUGAACACUUUUCUCCUUUUUUGUUAACUUUCUUAAAUUUUCCCUCCAUUCAUUCCAUCUUAUUCGUACCAAAAACACCCAACAUUCAAUCUAAAAUCACAACAUUCAAUCACUUCUCUUUCGUUCUCAUAACUUGCAGAUUCCUUUAGUCAGUGAGGAGGGACCAUUUACAUCAUUGGCUAUGAAGAGAGGAUACCAAGAAUCUUCGUCUUCGGCCUCUCUCGGUCCACCUCAAUCCAAAUUCAGACACAACUUAGAAUGCGAUGCACAGUUUCUGGAGGAUGAGAGUACAAAGAUAUUUGCCAGGAAAGUGGCUGACCAUUACAGUGCAAGAACGAAUCAAACUCUAGAAGAGAGAGAAGCUAGUCCUAUUAUCCAUUUAAAGAAACUUAACAACUGGAUUAAAAGUGUCUUAAUUCAACUUUAUGCUCGUCGAGGAGACGCAGUUGUUGAUCUUGCUUGUGGCAAGGGCGGAGAUUUAAUCAAAUGGGACAAAGCAAAGAUUGGAUAUUAUGUUGGCAUUGACAUAGCUGAAGGUUCGAUAGAAGACUGUCGUGCACGCUAUAAUGGCGAUGCAGACCAUCAUCAACGUCGAAAAAAGUUCACAUUCCCUGCACGCCUAAUAUGUGGAGAUUGCUAUGAGGUCCGCCUGGAUAAAGUUUUGGAAGAAGAUGCACCAUUUGAUGUUUGUAGUAGCCAGUUUGCCCUGCAUUACUCAUGGUCUACUGAGGCACGUGCACGUCGGGCCUUGGCCAAUGUAUCAGCAUUGCUUCGUCCAGGAGGCAUCUGUAUUGGAACAAUGCCUGAUGCCAAUGUUAUCAUCAAAAAGCUUAGAGAAGCCAAAGGACUGGUUUUUGGUAAUAGUGUUUACUGGAUACGUUUUGAUGAAGAAUUUUCUGAGAAGAAAUUUAAAUCUUCAAGCCCCUUUGGUAUAAAAUACAAGUUCCACCUUGAGGAUGCUGUUGAUUGUCCAGAGUGGAUUGUUCCUUUUCAUGUCUUCAAAUCAUUGGCAGAAGAGUAUGAUUUGGAGCUAGUUUUUGUGAAAAAUUCGCAUGUAUUUGUGGAUGAAUACUUGAAGAGACCAGAUUUUGUUGAGCUCAUGCGUAGGCUUGGUGCCUUGGGUGACGGAAACCAAGGGCAGAGUACAUUAACACCAGAUGAGUGGGAAGUAGCUUAUUUAUACUUGGCAUUUAUAUUGAGGAAGGUAAGGAUUACAUUCAUGCAUGUUGUUGAGAAUAACAUGGAAUUUAUUACUGUUUUUCACUCUAUUUAGUUUGUUCGUGUGUCAAAAAGUUUGUAUGUGCAAUUGACACAGAAGAGGUGAAAAUUUGUGACCUUUAGCUUGUGUUUGGUUGGGAGAUUUAGGGAGGAAUUUGGAAAGGGAGAGGGAAAGGAAAGGGAAAAUGUAUGUAAAAUUAGAUGAAAUAUAAGUAUAUUUUAUUUAUAUUUCACCUACCUUUUCUCUUUGGGAAAACUACGUACAGGUGGGAGAAGAGGAAAAAAAUGGGGAAAAAAAUAACUAAUAUACGAGGGGUGCCAGGUGUCUGUGGUGGGGUGCAAAUGAAAGACUGUGAGGGUGAAAAAUGUCACUGGCACCCCUUUAUGUAUUGGUAAUUUUUUUUUUCCUUCUCUCAUCUGUAUGUAGUUCCUCCUUUCUCUUUAUCUUUUCAAAUCCCUUUCCAAAUCCCCCAACCAAACAGAGUGUUAGGGAUGAAAUUUUUUUAUUUGUUGCAGCGAGGCCAGCCGGAGCAGAAGCGAGUAAAUAGUAGACGAGACAAAGGCAAGAUGCAAAUAUCAAAAGAAGACAUUAUGUAUGUUGGCAGUGAAAUUUGAUUAAACAGCAGAAAUUAGUAGCAAGUCAUCUUCAUACAGGACCAUAGUUACCGAGGCAUGGAAGAAUAUCGAUCAGGCCAUAGAUAAACAACCGAAGUUGGAUGCGAUUCAUAUUUAUCGUCCAUAAGUUCGUCAUGGACUUGAUACAGCUAUUCAAUUUUGUAGAAUUGUAGUGUUGCAAUGCCAUUGUUGGUUUUCCCAGCUGUUGCAACUGGUGGCUAAUAAAAUACUAGCCCUUAAGAGCAGUGGAGGAAGUUGUGUGACCCAACUCCAAGAGUAAGACCCCAUUUUGGCAAACUGGUAACAUUAUUGAUUUGAAUAUAUGUGAUAAUGUGACAGAUCA